rnacentral:siRNA from 1 species
AGGGUUCCAGAGUUACGGUUUAGG